AAAAAUGCUUUAUUGAUGAAGGAAAUUUUUGAAAACAAGAAUAAGGAACCACGUCUCUUGAUUGCUGUGGGUUGACAGUAUUAAUAGAUGAACAUCAGUCUACUCUUUGGUGAAAGAAGACCAGAAAACUUAUUCCUUAUUAAAGAAGAUGCGAAGCUCAGAAAGACUCACAGGACUAACUCCUUGGAGAUGAUGAAAUAAGAACAAGCUUAGCCUGGACUGUGUUUAGAGUGAUUUCAGAACAACCGAUCGAACCUGAAGUGUUCCACUCCUUCCGGAAUUGACUAGUGUGACUAUAUUUUCUUGAGAUGGCUGGCUCUCACGUUUCUCUUCCUCAGGACAUCUGAAUGGUCAUUCUUAAAAUGAGAGACAUACAGUGGUGAACUUCCCAGAAAGCCUGAUGAAGCUUGUUAUUGAAUAAUUAAUGAAAAUAACUGGUAUCAAAGCUUAUCAAAAUCAAAGCCUCUAUUCCAGGCACAGUAUACCUUCAAAUAAUGUAAAAUAAUAUCAGACUUUGCAAUUGUAGUUUAAUUAUGCUAUUAAUAUUACCAUAGUUUUAUUGCUUUAUCAGUAAAGACUUGUCGGUCUUAGAGGUAAAAUUAAUCUUUUUAUAUUUUCCUUCUGAUUAUAUUUGUUUCCAUAAAUUGCAAAUUGUAAGCCUAAUCAACCAUCAGGCAUUCAGCACAACUGCAUUUCAUUCUUUUUUUCAGUAGAGCAAGCACCCUAUGAUACUCGAUGGGCCAAAAUAAACAUUUUAUUAGUUUACAUUCUGAAUGCUCACAC